CCUACGGGUGGCAGCAGUGGGGAAUAUUGCACAAUGGGGGAAACCCUGAUGCAGCGACGCCGCGUGAGUGAAGAAGUAUCUCGGUACGUAAAGCUCUAUCAGCAGGAAAGAAAAUGACGGUACCUGACUAAGAAGCCCCGGCUAACUACGUGCCAGCAGCCGCGGUAAUACGUAGGGGGCAAGCGUUAUCCGGAUUUACUGGGUGUAAAGGGAGCGUAGACGGCGCUGCAAGUCCGGAGUGAAAGCCCAUGGCUUAACCAUGGUACUGCUCUGGAAACUGUAGAGCUUGAGUGCAGGAGAGGUAAGUGGAAUUCCUAGUGUAGCGGUGAAAGGCGUAGAUAUUAGGAGGAACACCAGUGGCGAAGGCGGCUUACUGGACUGUAACUGACGUUGAGGCUCGAAAGCGUGGGGAGCAAACAGGAUUAGAUACCCGUGUAGUC
rnacentral:rRNA from 1 species